rnacentral:rRNA from 1 species
AGCAGCCGCGGUAAUUCCAGCUCCAAUAGCGUAUAUUAAAGUUGUUGCAGUUAAAAAGCUCGUAGUUGAAUUUCGGGAUCAAUAUGUCGGUCGUGCCUUGGUACGUACUGGUAUCAUUGGUCUCUCCUUUCUGACGAACCAUGAUGUCAUUAAUUUGGUGUUAUGGGAAGUUAGGACUGUUACUUUGAAAAAAUUAGAGUGUUUAAAGCAGGCUUUAGCUUGAAUACAUUAGCAUGGAAUAAUGAAAUAGGACGUUCGAACCUAUUUUGUUGGUUUCUAGGAUCAACGUAAUGAUUAAUAGGGAUAGUUGGGGGCAUUAGUAUUCAAUUGUCAGAGGUGAAAUUCUUGGAUUUAUUGAAGACUAACUACUGCGAAAGCAUUUGCCAAGGAUGUUUUCAUUAAUCAAGAACGAAAGUUAGGGGAUCGAAGACGAUCAGAUACCGUCGUAGUCUUAACCAUAAACUAUGCCGACUAGGGAUCGGAUGAUGUUAAUUUUUUAAUGACUCAUUCGGCGCCUUACG